rnacentral:rRNA from 1 species
AGUGAACGCUGGCGGUAGGCCUAACACAUGCAAGUCGAACGGCAGCACAGUAAGAGCUUGCUCUUACGGGUGGCGAGUGGCGGACGGGUGAGGAAUACAUCGGAAUCUACUUUUUCGUGGGGGAUAAUGUAGGGAAACUUACGCUAAUACCGCAUACGACCUACGGGUGAAAGCAGGGGAUCUUCGGACCUUGCGCGAUUGAAUGAGCCGAUGUCGGAUUAGCUAGUUGGCGGGGUAAAGGCCCACCAAGGCGACGAUCCGUAGCUGGUCUGAGAGGAUGAUCGGCCACACUGGAACUGAGACACGGUCCAGACUCCUACGGGAGGCGGCAGUGGGGAAUAUUGGACAAUGGGCGCAAGCCUGAUCCAGCCAUCCCGCGUGGGUGAAGAAGGCCUUCGGGUUGUAAAGCCCUUUUGUUGGGAAAGAAAAGCAGCAGGUUAAUACCCCGCUGUUCUGACGGUACCCAAAGAAUAAGCACCGGCUAACUUCGUG